GACGAACGCUGGCGGCGUGCUUAACACAUGCAAGUCGAACGAGUGGCGAACGGGUGAGUAAUACGUGAGUAACCUGCCCUCUUUUUGGGCUAAGCCUUGGAAACGGGGUCUACUACCGGAUAAAGGGGGAUGGGCUCGCGGCCUAUCAGACUUUUGGUGGGGUGAUUGCCUACCAAGGCGGUGACGGGUAGCCGGCCUGAGAGGGUGACCGGACACGUUUGGACGUAGAUACGGCCCAGACUCCUACGGGAUGCAGCAGUGGGUGAUAUUGCACAAUGUGCGAAAGCCUGAUGCAGCGACGCCGCGUGGGGGAUGAAGGCUUUCGGGUUGUAAACCUCGUUCGCUAGCGAACGGGUAGGUGGAGAAGAAGCGCCGGCUAACUACGUGCCAGCAGCCGCGGUAAUAC
rnacentral:rRNA from 1 species